CCUACGGGUGGCUGCAGUCGAGAAUCAUUCACAAUGGGGGAAACCCUGAUGGUGCGACGCCGCGUGGGGGAAUGAAGGUCUUCGGAUUGUAAACCCCUGUCAUGUGGGAGCAAAUUAAAAAGAUAGUACCACAAGAGGAAGAUACGGCUAACUCUGUGCCAGCAGCCGCGGUAAUACAGAGGUCUCUAGCGUUGUUCGGAAUCACUGGGCGUAAGGCGUGCGUAGGCUGUUUCGUAAGUCGUGUGUGAAAGGCGCGGGCUCAACCCGCGGACGGCACAUGAUACUGCGAGACUAGAGUAAUGGAGGGGGAACCGGAAUUCUCGGUGUAGCAGUGAAAUGCGUAGAUAUCGAGAGGAACACUCGUGGCGAAGGCGGGUUCCUGGACAUUAACUGACGCUGAGGCACGAAGGCCAGGGGAGCGAAAGGGAUUAGAUACCCCGGUAGUC
rnacentral:rRNA from 1 species